rnacentral:lncRNA from 1 species
UUGGGAGAAAUAGACGUUCAAUACAAAAAUAUAAAAUAUCCCUCGACCAAAAAGAGCACAAGAAAGAACAUUAGUGAUUGUCUAAAAUAUAUCAUUACAUACAAAGAAAAUAUCCCUCAGCCCAAAAGAGCACAGGAAAUAACAUUAGUUAUUGAUUAAAAUAUAUUAUUACAUGUCAUUUGUGAUCUCAAAGUCUUUAGAAGAUUUUCAGAACAGAAGAUCAUGUAACACGGAAUCCAAGUAAAAGUAAAUUAAAAGAUUGAAAAGAAAUCCAUACAAGAGUUACCGAAUGCAUGUAAUUAUAAGUUUAUAAACAUGAUUAUAUCAUGGAGAUAUAGCUCAUUAUUCAAAUUUUAAAAACCAAGAAACAUAGGCAAGUUAAAAUCUAUUGUUCUGUACCUAAGUUAUGAAAUACACCAAACAACCAAAGUCUAUUGAUUUACUAAAUUUCUUAAAAUCAAAGGCUAUGAAAUACAAUAUGACAAAAACAAUUUCAUAAACUUAACAUGGCAUUACAAAAGACAUCAAAUCAAUUUACUGACACAUGAAUAUAGUUCAAGUUAGGUCAGAUAUUCAUCACCCAUGUAAAAAUCUAAAGGAUAGAAUGAGUAAGUAUUUAUAGUAGGAUGCACGAACCGUAUAUAAUAUUUUAGUGUUUGAACCCAAUCAAAAACAUUAUAAAUAUGCAACUAUUAAAGCCAGAAAAUGUACCCAAGUCAUUUUUGCUUACUGAACCAGAUUUCUAUUGAAACUGGGAAUAUAUGCAGAUAAUUUCACUAAAACAAGAAUUCAAGACAAUACACAACAUGGAUAUUUUAUCAAAAAACUUCGGGCCAAAUUUUGAUGGCAAAGAGAUAUCAAAAUGAACAGAUGAUGAGAAUAUUAGUCAGGUCACUUAAC